rnacentral:rRNA from 1 species
GAUGAACGCUGGCGGCGUGCCUAAUACAUGCAAGUCGAGCGAACGGACGAGAAGCUUGCUUCUCUGAUGUUAGCGGCGGACGGGUGAGUAACACGUGGAUAACCUACCUAUAAGACUGGGAUAACUUCGGGAAACCGGAGCUAAUACCGGAUAAUAUUUUGAACCACAUGGUUCAAAAGUGAAAGACGGUCUUGCUGUCACUUAUAGAUGGAUCCGCGCUGCAUUAGCUAGUUGGUAAGGUAACGGCUUACCAAGGCAACGAUGCAUAGCCGACCUGAGAGGGUGAUCGGCCACACUGGAACUGAGACACGGUCCAGACUCCUACGGGAGGCAGCAGUAGGGAAUCUUCCGCAAUGGGCGAAAGCCUGACGGAGCAACGCCGCGUGAGUGAUGAAGGUCUUCGGAUUGUAAAACUCUGUUAUUAGGGAAGAACAUAUGUGUAAGUAACUGUGCACAUCUUGACGGUACCUACUCAGAAAGCCACGGCUAACUACGUG